rnacentral:rRNA from 1 species
UACGACGGGGGCUAGCGUUGCUCGGAAUGACUGGGCGUAAAGGGCGCGUAGGCGGAUGGCACAGUCAGAUGUGAAAUUCCCGGGCUUAACCUGGGGGCUGCAUUUGAUACGUGUUGUCUUGAGUUCGGAAGAGGGUCGUGGAAUUCCCAGUGUAGAGGUGAAAUUCGUAGAUAUUGGGAAGAACACCGGUGGCGAAGGCGGCGACCUGGUCCGACACUGACGCUGAGGCGCGAAAGCGUGGGGAGCAAACAGG